UACCAUGGCAGUCACGGGUAACGGAGAAUUAGGGUUCGAUUCCGGAGAAGGAGCCUGAGAAACGGCUACUACAUCUACGGAAGGCAGCAGGCGCGUAAUUACCCAAUCCUAAAUCAGGGAGGUAGUGACAAGAUAUAACAACGCGACUAAAAAUCGCGAUUGUAGUGAGGGUUUUAUAAAACUAGCUUCGAGUACGAUUGGAGGGCAAGUCUGGUGCCAGCAGCCGCGGUAAUUCCAGCUCCAAUAGCGUAUAUUAAAGUUGUUGCAGUUAAAAAGCUCGUAGUUGGAUUUCAAGAGUCGCACCUGGGAUAACCACGUGCUCUCUACGGUCAUUUGACUGUUACUGUGAGAAAAUUAGAGUGUUUAAAGCAGGCUAUUGCAGGAAUACAUUAGCAUGGAAUAACGAUGUGUCUGGAAUUGGGUAAAUUCUAGAUUACGUUUAAUAGGGACAGUUGGGGGCAUUAGUAUUUAAUAGUCAGAGGUGAAAUUCUUGGAUUUGUUAAAGACUAACGUAUGCGAAAGCAUUUGCCAAGGAUGUUUUCAUUAAUCAAGAACUAAAGAUAGGGGAUCAAAGACGAUCAGAUACCGUC
rnacentral:rRNA from 1 species